AGCAGUCGCCGCGGUAAUACGAAGGGGGCUAGCGUUGCUCGGAAUGACUGGGCGUAAAGGGCGCGUAGGCGGCGAUCAAAGUCAGGCGUGAAAUUCCUGGGCUCAACCUGGGGGCUGCGUUUGAUACUUGGCUGCUAGAGUGAGGAAGAGGGUCGUGGAAUUCCCAGUGUAGAGGUGAAAUUCGUAGAUAUUGGGAAGAACACCGGUGGCGAAGGCGGCGACCUGGUCCAUAACUGACGCUGAGGCGCGAAAGCGUGGGGAGCAAACAGGAUUAGAUACCCCUGUAGUCCCUGUCUCUUAUAC
rnacentral:rRNA from 1 species